GCGUGGACCCUGGACUUGUGCUCCUAUGUCAUUUAUCCCAGCUGUUCCCGGUUUCCCCUUCUGAGCCAGGUAUCUUGGCCUCCUCGGUGGCCACAGCUUUCUGCUAAGCCUCGGUCUUCUUCCCGGCAGGAGAGACCUUUGACCCAUGUGCGUCCUGAUCCGUGGCCAGGAGCGUACCCAGUACGGCGGUGCGCCACUCGAGAGGCCUGACCCAGAUAUCAGUGCUCCAUGGGAAUGCUGCAAAGACCCGGGGCUCUGAAAAGAUGGCCAUGCUAAUUCCUCUGUUGGUGUUUACCCAAGACAUGAAGACCAGAACAGGAAGAGACACUCGUGGGCUAUUCAUAAUCAACCAACUCAAUCCAUGAAUGGCAAAGUUGAUGGUGAUAAUUUUCCCUCAGAAACUGUCCCUCAGAAUGAAAAGUAGCCCAUGAUGAAUGUGGCCUAAGCACAUCUCAGAAGCACAAUGCCAAGGGAAAGAAACUCCUUAAAUGACAUCGUGGGGUUGGCAGGAGAAUAGAAACAGAAAUCAGACCCGCGGUUGUCAGAGAUGGAAACACAGAAUGGGAUUUGUUUGCAAAGCGUCUCAAAGAACUUUGUGGAAAGAACAGCCAUGGUCUAAGCUGUAAUACUGGUCAAAGCUUGUUUCAUGGUACUCAAAGAAGAUGAACUUAAGGAUUUAAAUACUUCUCAGUAAGCUUGAGUUAAAAGGGGUGUGAAGUCCUCAAAUAAUUAAACAUAGACUUGGAUGAUUCAGCCCACUUCUAGGCACAUAACAGAGAGGAUGGAAAGCAGGUCUGUAUGCCAAAUGCGCAUGACACAGUUCUCACGGGCACUAAAAGGUUGGGCCCAGCCCAGAAGGCACCGAUCAACAGGUGCAUGGAUACAGCAAAUGUGACAGGUACUGACUUUUUCAAGUAAUGGGACGAGUUAAGAAGAGAGAUCUGCUAAAAGGCUGCAUCCUCCCAUCUAGCAAGGCCUCCUAGACCUUAGGCUUUGCUGCAAUGGCAAAGAUAAAUGUGAUGAAGACGGGGGCUGGAGAGAUGGUUCAGUGGUUACGAGCACUAGCUGCUCUUCCAUAGGUCCUGAGUUCAAUUCCCAGCAAACACAUGGUGGCUCACAGCCAUCUGUAAUGGAAUCUGAUGCCCUCUUCUGGUGUGUCUGAAGACAGCGAGAGUGUACUCAUACACAAAAUAAACAAAUCUUCAAAAAAAAAAAAAUGUGAUGAAGACACAAUACUCUGGGACUAGGUGUGAAUGUCCUUGUCCCAAGCUCCUCCCAUACAAAGGACCACCCUACUUGUCUCUUCAGGUUGCCCCACCUGUCUCCUUUUAGCCAGACGGAUGAUUCUGCUUUUCUACCAUUAUAAUCAGCAUUCUCUGAUAGGAAUCUUCUAGAGAAGGGAGGCUUAGAGCAUGCAUAUGCACACACACACACACACACACACACACACACACACACACAAACACACACACACACACACACACACACACACACACGAGUUUAUUCUAGAGAAUUGGUUCAUAGAGCCAUGGAGGCUAACAUGCCCCAUAUUCUGCAAUUCUCUGGCUGGAAACCCAGGAGAGAUAAUGGUGUAAUUCUAGUUGGAAGCUAGCAGACCUGAGACCCAGUGUUUCUCUUUGACUCCAAACGGAGAAGAGAAGCCAUUGUGAAGACCACAAGGCAGAAGGAGCACCUUCUUGCUCUUGGAAGUAUCACUCUUCAUUGUCUGUUGAAGACUUCUGGACUGACUGGAGGAGGCCGGUCCUCACUUAGGAGGUCUUUUUCCUUCAAUCACUCUACCAACUUAAAUAUUGAUCUCACCCAGAACAUCUCACAUGCAAAUCCAGAAUCAGUCCACUUAAGCUGACACAUAAACUUGUUGUGUUGGGUAAUUUUAUGUCAACUUGACACAAGCUAGAAUUAUCUGAGAAGCAACCACAAUUGAGGAAAUGCCUCCAUAGAUUGGCCUGUAGGUAAGUCUGUGGGGGCAUUGUCUCAAUUAAUGAUUGACGUAGGAGUGGGCAGCCUACAGGGAUGCUGCUACCCCUGGGCAAGUGAUCCCCAGUCGUAUAAGAAAGUAGGCCAAGAGAGCUGGCUAGCAAACGGAUUAAUGUUCACAUGGCUUUUGCUCCCGUUCCUGCCUCCAAGUUCCUGCCCUGGCUUCCUUCAGUGAUGGACUUAUACACUCUAAGGUGAAAUAAACUCUUUCCUUCUC
rnacentral:lncRNA from 1 species